rnacentral:rRNA from 1 species
AGCGAACGCUGGCGGCAGGCUUAACACAUGCAAGUCGAGCGGGCAUCUUCGGAUGUCAGCGGCAGACGGGUGAGUAACACGUGGGAACGUACCCUUCGGUUCGGAACAACUCUGUGAAACUGGAGCUAAUACCGGAUACGCCCUUAUGGGGAAAGGUUUACUGCCGAAGGAUCGGCCCGCGUCUGAUUAGCUAGUUGGUGGGGUAACGGCCUACCAAGGCGACGAUCAGUAGCUGGUCUGAGAGGAUGAUCAGCCACACUGGGACUGAGACACGGCCCAGACUCCUACGGGAGGCAGCAGUGGGGAAUAUUGGACAAUGGGCGCAAGCCUGAUCCAGCCAUGCCGCGUGAGUGAUGAAGGCCUUAGGGUUGUAAAGCUCUUUUGUCCGGGACGAUAAUGACGGUACCGGAAGAAUAAGCCCCGGCUAACUUCGUG